AGCAGAGGAGUGCCUGAGUCUGACUUUCUAUUUCAUAGUAUAUACAAUCAGCACUCUUUUGUAUUGUUGUAAAUGAAUAUUUUGGAAAAUGCUGUGGGAAACGAAAAUAUUAAUGCAAUUAAGAAUCUAAUAACCGUGGAAAAUCUAAUUAUUGGUACCAUGUGAUAGCUCAUAGCUCAGAGAGCGGUUAAGAUUCAGAAUUCGAGCACAUUGAAGCAUCGUUCGCAAAUCAGCGUUUUAUUGAAAUCCAACAACAAUGCCUCCCUCAAUCAGCACAUGCUUUUUACUCGUUGAUAAAAAAAAAAAGUAUUGAAGCCGGUCUACGCAUACAAAUCAAACAGUCUGCGUCUAGUUUGUUAUCAGCAAAACACAUGCGUAAUGUAUGUAAGUACAUACAUAUAAGCAUAAAGAGUUUUAUUAAAUAUAUUUAUAUAGUAAGAAAAAUAUAUAAAUAACAAUCUAACCACGACGUACUUAUAUGAAUCACAGCUAACGAAUCUUGAUUUUGUCAUUUAAAAUAUACUAUAUAUGCACAGGCAGACAUAUAUAUAACGUAUUUCACUAUAAAUGUUCAGACACAUGCUACAAUGUAGUGACUCACGCUAUUUGCACCGGAAAAUAAACACUUUGGCAUUGCAGAGAGUACAAUCAUACAGUGUGAUAAGAAUUAUGACUUUGGAAAUCCAAUCACAAGAGCACAAUAUAUCACUCAUUACAUUCUAUUAUUAACGUAUUAUCAACUUGAAGUGAAUUUAAGCAUGGCAACAACAAUUUAAGUACAAUUUCUUAAAUUAAUUGUUAAAUUGUGAUGUAUGCGUGCUGCUUGACACACAGUGGGUACAUAAAUAUGUAUAUUUUUAUACACAUUUAGAGUUAUUCUUCCAGAUUGAAAUUAAACUUAAUUGCACAACAACACAUUAUAGCUGCUGCCAUACGUCACUGUGCACAUCCAAACACAUUCGGACAUCUGGAAUGUGUACAAGGUUGCGCGUUGAUAUCAUAAAAAGUGUUUGCUUGAUUAGCAAACGCGUUGAAAUUAUUUACCUGAUAACAGUACGUACGUAUCUUAAUAGCUGAUAAUUGCACAGCAAUAGUACGUUACCGAGUACAUAUGACUCCAAGUUGUGCUGCAGACAAUAAAUGCUUACCCAAUCGCAAUACUCAGUAGCGGAGUUGAGGAAUUAUUUAAUAGGAUACUUUAUAGUAUUCAUUUUUAUGUACAGUUCUUAUUUAUUUGUAGCAUAUUAACCCAGAUAACCACUUUUAGCAGGUCAACACAAUAUCAAUAAAGAUAAUUAAUUACUUGGUAUAAGCUUUUGUACAACUUUGCCAAGGUUGCACAUGCAUAUCUACGGCAGUAUUCGUCACAACACUAUUAAAAUAAAUGUGUCAUUUGUUUAUUUUGUAAUCCUCCACAUCUACGCCUGCGUGUAACACUUCUGAAUAUAUUUAUGGUCGUACGCUUACUGAUUAAGAAAGCAAAUUUUCACAAUAGCAUACUGGAAACAAUACGGCGCGAAUUUAAUUGUUAUUUUUUUCACAAAAUCAAUUAGAAGUGCUUAACAACACUUUUUCUUACAUAAGUUGUAUUUCAUAAUAAUUGUUAUUGCAUUAUUGUUUUUUUAUUAAAACUUAACUAUAAGUAAUUAUGCAAAUCAAAUAAAAUUAAAGAAAGUAACUUUUAAUAGAGUGGCAUUGGCCGAACGCAGUACAAAGUACGUACGUAGAACAAAUAUUCAUUUUCAAUAAAAAACUAAUACGUUUAUGUACAUAAAUAUUUAAAAGUAUGUGUAUGUACAACAAUUGCGUCUGCUAUAGAAAAGCAAUAAAAUAAAAUAUGCAAAGUCAAGAACGCGCAAUUUUUGUUGUCGGCAAGGUAGAUGGAGCCACUUUUAACGUUUCUGAUUUUCCAGCAUCAAUAUAAAUAAAAAAAUGUUUGUGUUUCACAUGAUCUAAUCAUCAGUCUAUAGUUAUAUGUGUAUAUAUGUAUAAAAUCUCGUUGUGUAGUAAUUUUAUUUUAGAUACCUUUUAAUUUAUUUAUUAGUGAAACCAACACACGCGAUUACAAAACACGGUUGUGCAGUAUAAGUUAUGAUUCUUUACUAUUUUUCAUGCGCUUUACAAAUCACCGACUGAUUCUCGAUAGACCGUCGAAUUAAAAUGUGACGGACGUGUACGGAGUCACAGCUUAUACUACAUACUACAAUUUAUGAAUAAUACUAAUCAACUAGGCACAAACCUUAUCAAAUGUAAGAACGCUGUGUUCAGUAUCUCGACAGCUAUGACGUUUUUUUUCGAGGGAGCGAUAAAAAACUUUUCCGCAUUCGAUUCGAUCUCAGCAACAGCGAUUACCAUGAAUUUUGUUUUAUAGUAUUACUGCAUAUUAUAUAUGUAUAUUAAAUUUUCGCAUUAGAUUUUUUCACUUUAUACCGUUUUUUUUAUUUAUUGUCACAAUUUUUACACACUUUGCGAGUCGAAUAAAAAAUAUAUACACGGAAAACGCUAGAAGAGCCCUGUACGAUAGGCAGAUGUACUCACAGACGGACUAUAGUGGUUGGGCUGACAAACUGAAAGGCCACAGUCAGCGCCACAAUCGAUUUUUCGUUCACCGCCCCAAAGUGCUAAAGUACGAGUACAGCGACCGAAAAGCAGCAGACAAAACGGUCACUGGUAGCAGUCAGAGCAGCAGUCGCACAUAUGUACAUAUAUGCACGCACUAAUACAAUUGCAACUGUUCGGCCGCUAAAUUGCCGCACCUCGCGCCCUUAAAGUAAGAUUCCACUCUUGUAUUUUUUUAUUAAUACACAAUGUAAUCUCAAUUAACGCCACUUUGUACUUAUAUCACGAUGCGGGCGGGAAAUAUAUAGUUUCUUUAAUUUUUGUUUGUUUAAAUUUCACUAAAUCCAUAGAAAUCCGCGUAUGAAAAACCCGACAUCCAAGCGAGACGCGAUUGUUUGACGUUUGACAACUGUGUUCUGUUGUGUGUGUGCGUGUUGUUUGACAUUUCGUUGACUUGUUUCAUGGUGUUGCCAGAACAUUACAUUUUGUCGCGUUGCCAACUAUGUGUUUUUAAACAAAACUUUUGUACAAAAAAGUACAUAUUUUCUAAUUAUAACUGUUUUUUGUAAAUAUAUUUUACACAUUAUUCACUCCAGCAGUAAUUUCCGUCCACUAUUUGUGGUUUUUCUCAUAUCCUUAAUGUUUUUCGCAAUCAAAUGCACUUACUUACCACCCUUUAAUUGUUAUUACCGGAACUUCCACCCACUAUCGCGCCAUCUCUCUCUUUCUGUUCGUCACCGUUUGACAAUUGGAGUCAGUGAAUUUUCGGCAUUUAACCGCGCUUACUCGGUCGUGUUAAAUUAAACAAAUUUCGUGCUAAAAAGUUAAUAAUAUGUUAUAAAAAUAGUUUAAAUCGUUUCCGUGUAUGAAAUAACGUGUGUACAAUGUAAUGUGUUGAGUUCGCCGCGUAAUAUACACGCAAAAACGUGUACUGCGUCAUUGUAUCCUGCGCAAGAGGCUCUGCUAGCUGCGGAGCGCUAGUUGUGCAGUGUUGCUGCAUAUAUUAAUAGUUUUAAACGUUUAAAGUUGGUUUUGUCUAAUUGCAAAUAUAAUAGUGCAUUUAUGUAUAAUCCGGCGCAGAAAUCUUGUGAAAUAUCAUGUUCCAACAUGUUCGCCUUUGCACAUAGCUGUUUUCUGCCGUUCUCAGUUUGAUUCAAAGAGUUAUACGGAUGUGUGUGUGUGUAAAACAAUCUGCAUUUGUGCAUAAGGAAGCGAAGAAUCAGUAAUAACGCGUUUAUUUGACAUGUACGUGCUGAAGAGAAAUGAAAAUUAAGAAAUUUCGAGAACUUCAGUGGCAAUUUUCUUUCAUUCUCCAUUUUUGUAUGCGUGCGCUUUUCUAGUUCCUUAUGUAUUUGUAAUAAUAAACGCGUGACUUUUGUGGGAGAUGAAAUCUUGCAUCAAUGCAGUGGUUUUGAAGUGAGCUGUAGUGACUUCCCUUCUUCGUUUAAUGGUAAAGCUGUGUGUCGGUAAUAAAGUGUUUCCUUUUGUAUAUGGGAAAAUUAAUUUAAAUUAUUUAAAAAUUAUAAUUUUUCAAUAAUCACCUCUUUUAAUUGUAAAAUAAAUAAAACUGUUUAUAUGUAAAAAAAGUAAUAAUAAAUCGAAAAAAUAUAUGUAUAUACAUUUUAUGUUGUCAUGUUAAAAAAAUGUGUGUGUUAAUAUGCUCAUUGUGCAUUGAAGUUUCCGGUAAUAUAAUUAUAAAUAAGUGUUUAUUGUUUAUUAGUAAAGUAUGACUUUUAAAAAUCAAUUCCGGUUGUGUUUUGAUAGUUUUAAAAACAUCCGGGUUCCGUCACAUAUUUGUCGACCGGUUUCGCGUUCGGCGGGUAAUAGCGUGUGAAAUAAGUUUUGUCGUCAAAGUAGCGUGUCGGUAAUGGCGUGUGUCGUUUUCAUAUGCGCUAAAAAUUAAAUUUGUAUGACAUUAUUGAUAACUAACACUGAGAAAAUGGAACUUUAAUACUACAUAAGGUGCUGCCGUCGUGGUAAAAUAUGGAUGACUUCAAAGCUCAACUGCCACGCUGGCUGCCACGCGAGCUUUUACUCGGGUAAGUGCUUACAUG